GACAUUCAAUAGAUAGUUCUCUUGUGUCACCGCAAGAACUGUUACAUAUUCGACGCAAAGCCGAUUGAUGUCUACGUUCAAACAGUUAACAUAGUCAAGAAACAAAGAAAUACUUACUAGCCAACCUCAAGCUGUUCACAAUAACUUAAGUUGGAGAAGCAGAAAGCGUUGAAGAAAACAUUGAAGAAGCAAGCUAAGAAACUCGCUACAGUAUUUUAGUCCAUUUUGCGGAAGCAAGGACAUUUCUGAAAGAAUCUGUUUUCGAGAAUGUUAUGAGUUGUUGUUGGAGAUACAGAAACAUUUGAUAAGGUGGCCCUGCUGAUAACGAGAAAAUUCGCGUUGGUUAAAUUCGUUUUUCCAGGACCAAAAGGAACUGCUCAAAGUAAUUCACAGGAAAUCGUCCAAUCAUCUUUAUUUCAUAUACAGAAAUUCAUUACUUGCUCCGCGUUGUCCAGAAUCCGUCACCUUGGAAAUAAAGUUCRGGAAGCGGYUAAAACAAGAAGCAACGAAAAAACCGUGUCCAGAGAUCUCUAGCGCAAAUUGAAAUCAGCAUCAAAAUCCACCGCUACAGAAGACCAUAACAGAAUAAGUUGCCGCUUUAGGACUAUAUCACAAGUCAGACUGAUAAAUAUUGACAGUAAAUAUGAAUGGUUCUACUGCAAACCAAACGCAUCAACCUAACCUCGAGAUUUCUUUUAUACCCUGGGCGUUUUUUAACGCACUGAUAAUUGUAUUCGGUAGUAUUGGGAAUGUAUUGGUGGUUUUGGCCUACAGGAACCCUCGUAUGAAAACAGUCACAAAUCUAUUUAUUGCAAACUUAGCUUUUGCUGAUUUAAACGUUGUUCUUAUAAA